AAUUAGGGAUGCCCUCUUUUUUUGAGCACAUCUUGAUUAAUGUAAUAUUCCGUUGCCGUUGUAUUCUGUAUGUUCUGUGAACCACCUUAAAGGAGAACAUUUUCUGUGUAUGUAUAUGGUAGUAAUAUGGUAUGUAACGAUAGUGAAAGUAACCAUAGUGAAAUUUGCAUAAAGUAAAAAUAUUGGAA